CAUGGGCUUUCCCUCCAUUUUACAGAGAACAGUCUGAUCAUGGUCCCAGGAGUUGAAAGUGUAGCUACCAUGGUAGCCUUCUCAGACAUGGCCUGUAAAGUAGCUCUGAACCUAAGAGUGAUAGAACCCUGGACAAGUUCAUUAACCUCUGAGACUUCCUGCCUCAACUCUUAAAGAGUGGAGAGCUAUAACAACCACCUGUCAAGAUGAGGAGUCAGCCAGGACUGCAGGACAGAUGGGUCAACACAAGCAGACUGAGGCAAGCACGGUGCAUGAGGAAGCUUUUCCCAUUUUCCAUUUCUUCCUUUUAUAACUUUUAACCUCUUAACAUUUAAACUUUUCCCAUGAUUCUUAUUCCUGUGG
rnacentral:lncRNA from 1 species